UAUCUAAGUGCAGCUCCACCAUCCACCCAUCAUUUAAUAUCAACCAUUCAUAUCCUCACUCAAUCACAGUCCAAAUUGCCGUCUACACAUUGCCGGUUUAAUAUUUUGCAGGAGAGCUGUGCAGAGUUUGGGGAAAACAAAAUGUCAAGUGCAGAGAGGUGGUGGACGAAGGAGAGUGUGGCACUGGUGACAGGGGCAAAUAAAGGAAUAGGGUUUGAGGUUGCUCGGCAGCUUUGCGAGAAAGGACUCACUGUAAUUCUCACUGCUCGAAACGAGGAGCGAGGAAGAGCUGCUUUACAAUCUUUGAGAGCUCAGGGAUUUCAACACAAUUUGGAAUUCUUCCCAUUCGAUGUGACUUCAGAUGAGAGUGCGUGUCGUUUGGCAGAGUGGAUCAAGCACACCUAUGGAAAACUGGAUAUCCUGUUUGUUGCAGGUCUAUUCCAGAAAGUUGUAAAAAGGUUAACUUUGGCCUUGAAUAUCUCUUACAUAAAGCGGAGUCAGGAAAUUUCCUUUGGAACAUAUACUCACUAGACUUCAAUGAACUCCUCCAUCCAAUGGCAUCUUCUCAAAUUAGGAUUGCUAUUUUUUUGAGAACACUUUCAGAUACAGUUUAUUUAGUUUUCGGGGCCUGAAAGUAACUAUCAAAAAUUAGAAAUGAAGGGUGACUCAUGUCAUUUUUGGCUUCAAAAUGUGUUCAAUUACCAUUUCAGAGCAUUUUGAGGUCAAGUUGUUUCUAAACAAAUUUUUUAGGUCGGGCCUACAAGUGAACCCAAUGUGCAUCAGAGUAUUAUAUGGUCAUUGGGAGUUUGAUUUUAAAUGUCUUAUUAUUUAAAUCAUUUAUGAUUUAAAUAAUAAUAUAUAUCAGAAAUGUUAUGUUGGAGUACAUGGAUGUAUCAUUAUUUCAUAAUCGUUCAUAACAUUGUCAAGCAAAUUAAAGGUGAAAAUGAGGUUAUUGCGAGGCAUUUUCUAAAUGACUUAAAUAUUUUAUUACAAGAGAUGGUGUUAUUUUAUAAAUCUUUAGUAUGGGGUCCAUAAUAUAGAUUACAAAGGUCUAAAAUUAUUAGUGUAUUAUACAUUGCCUGCUUCCCCGCUAAGAAAUUAGGGUAAAAUGGUAAAAGGUGUGUGGUAGUGUGGUGACCAUCUCGCCAUCUCACACGAAGGAUGGGGGUUUUGUGGAACACAAUGAUGGGAGAGCGGUGGAAUGGUGUCUCAUGGAAUGCAUCAGUUGCAAGAGUUGUAGAAAAUAAAUUUGUUGAAGAGUCUUUACAAAUUUUAAAACAAAUGCAAUCAGUAGGCAUAAGGCCAAUUCAACAGGCUUUGCCAACAUUCUCCUUGCUCGUGCAUAGUGGGAGCUCUGGAAUGGGUGUAUGGAUAUCCAUUUAAGCAUAAUAAAAAGGUGGAGGUUUUAUUAGAGGUUAUACAAGGAAAUACCCUGAUAGCCACACAUUCAAAAUGUGGAUGCACAGACUAGGCACAACAACUAUUUGAUGAAAUGCCUCGUGUUAUAGAAAGAUGCAUGCAAGUGUGCAAAAUGGUGGAGCGUGGACAAUGCACAUGAACUAUUGUAGUUAUAAAUGCUCUAGUAAAUAUGAAUGAAAAAUGUGGAAACAGAGGCAUACAACUGUUUGACAAAAUGCCUUUGGGAAAUGUUACUUAUGUAUGCGCUAGUGGAUAGGCUUGUGAAAUGUGGAAUCAUGGAUUAAGAAAGUGAAUUGCUUGACCGAAUACUUAAAGAUGUAUCAUCUCAAAGAAUGGAAUGAUACGAUAGUUGGAUCUACGCAAAAUAGAGAAGGCAACAGGUAAAACAAUGAUUUGGGAUGUUUACUCAAUGGUGAUAGUCAUACAUGCACAAAACAGAUCUGGUGAAAUUGUAUUUAUAAGCUUUGUGGAAAGUGCAGGCUGCAAGGGUAAAGCCAAAGUCUACAACCUUUUCCGCUAUUCGUCCUCUCUAUCACGCAAAACAUAAUUUAGAUGGUGUAUAUGCAUUAGCAGGAAGAUGUUUGUCAUAUACUACAGUCCGAAAUACUCUUGUAGAUAUGAGCACAAAAUGCUCAAAUGUAUCCAACAAAUAUUUGCAUUCAAGUAAUGAAAGAGAUGUCAGUAAUUUUAAACUUGACAAGGGUAAGAAUGCUAAAAGAGGAGAAACAGACAACACGCUAAAUGGUUGUUAAAAUUCUUCAAAGAGAUGUGUCUCAUGAAAUAUAGUGAAGCAGAUGAGGAAGAAAUAUAUUGAAUAACAUCAGGACACACUAUAAAUUUUGGUAAGCCAAGUCACCCAGAAUGGUGCUCGUUUCUUCCAUGAUGGAUAUACCCAUUGUUUCAUGCUUAGUUGAUGGAUUCAUAGAGGAUUGGGACUAUACUAGUAGAAAAAUUAAGAAGGAUAUUCGAUAAUAAGCCGGUUACUCUUUUUUGAUGCAUAUAAUGAGGAGAGUUACAAAGUUUAACGAAUUUCUUGUUUUAUCAUAUGAAAAAUAUUUCAUAGGAGAGGCAGGGUUGAGCACAAUAUUGAUUUGGAACUGCAAAUAAGUGAAUAUAAAUGAUUACAAGUUAAUAAGUAAUUAGUGUUGUAAUUAGUGUUUGUGUCUUUUAGUUUUCUUGGGGUAACUGAAUGGUUCUCAGUUAGUAAUAGAAUGUGAAUUGUAAUGCCUGCCAAAAUAUUCUAGAGAAAAUAACUAAACUAAUCAACAAAUGGAGAUAAUUUUUUUUUAAAAUCAUCUACCAAUGCAACAUAGUAAACUAUCAUUACUCCAAAACAUAGCUUUACUUCACAUGUACGUAUAAAACAUUGUAACAUAACCAUAUCUAAGACAACAUUUAAUGCAAGCGAAAAUAACAUCUUAACCAUAUGCAUAUAUCCAUUCAUCUAUUCAUUCUUUCAUUCUUUCGUUAGGGUACUUCAACGCCACUACUUACUAUCAAUAACACAUGAACACAUUCAUAACAUGAAACCAUUAGUACCCAUUUCAUUUAAGUUCUUCUCAAUACUUCCUAACAUGAGAAUCAUUUAUUUUCAAUGCAUACCUAUCAUAACCCAUAACUCCUAGAUUCAUUUUAAACACCAACCAAAAGUUCCUAAUUCUCCAUUUCUUCACUAACCAUCUAACUCAAUAUGAAUCCAAAUAGCACUAUCAAUAUUCAAGAAAUUCUAAUUCUUUUCCUUUCUUAACUACAUCAUACAUCCCAUCAAGAUAACACAUAUAAACUAAUCAUUCAUUUUCUGAUCCAAUAUAAAAUCCAAAUCUCUAUCUCUUACACAUUGAACUUUUAUUACAACAUCUCACAUCUUUACAAAGUCAUAUUCUCAACUACUACUUCAUGUCCUAAUGCAUAAUACUACAAGUCGUAAGAGUACAUAAUCUCCUUUACAUUUACAAUGUCAUCAUGAUACAUUAGACUAUUUCAACACAUAGAAAUCAGCUCCGCAUAAUGAAGAGUCAUAUAGUCCAUACAAAUCUACAACUACUCAUUCUUUUCCAUAUUCCAAAGAUAACUAGAAUUAAGGAUUAACAUCUUUCAAAUCAAGGCAUACAUGAUCAUUAACAUAUCUACUACCAUCCACAAGAUAUACACAAGAUAAUCCAAUCGUAUUACUAAAUCAAUUAAUUCCUUUAUGAUCUAUAAUUACAUACACAUUGAAUAUACAAUUACAACAAUAUCAUCCAAUACAUUUUAUUCUGAAAUCAACUUACUACAAGUCCUAGCACAUAAGUUCACUAGAUAUUAAUCACAUAGUCUUCAUUACUAUUACACCUUUCUCAAGGUACAAAACACAUGUUAUUAAUUCCAAUUACAUAGAUUAUGCUCCAAAGAUCCAUCCACAUGAAGAGAUAAUAUAAAUCUAUAUCCACACACACACACACAUCCAAUGAAGAACAUCCCAAUGGAAGAAGGCAUCAAACCAUCCAACCAUGUGGAACCAAAUAGGAACCACCCCUUGUGCUAGGAGAUGACAUGGGGUUCCAACUCACACUCAAGACCUAGGCUGGCACCUAACAACCAAGGAACUCAACAUGACAUCCACAAGAACAAUGAACCAAAUCACAUCACAAGGCUAAUCAUAAAUCAAUAAACUCCUAGAGGCAUAAUCAACAAUAAAGGCAUAAGGAUAAUGGACACAUGUAGGGAAGAGCGUCACCACAUGCUAGCCUCAUGUGGAAUCCGCCUCAACCUUGGAGCCAAACAAGGGAGGUUGGUUUACAGCUCCAACAAUCUUCCCAACCAUAGAUCCCAAAACCACCUCCUUGGGACCCAACAUUGGGGCACACAAAUUCAAAUUCAUUAUCUUGAUUAAGUGAAUUCCUAAUUACCCAAACCUACUAAUUAAUUAUUAAGGUUAUCAUUUGCAAUUAAACAUAAACUCUCCAUGUGGUUCCAUGACAGGUCUAGACCCUAAGCAUCCUUACAAGGAACCUCUUAGAAGUCUAUUGCUCAUGACGCCGAUCCUACACAUGCAAGAGCCAACUCUCCCUAACCAUGGACCAAGACCUUAGAGUGAAACAAAACAAUAACAACAUCACUAGGAGGCUCAUGCAUAAUCCGCCAAUAACAACAUCACACUGAUACAAAACUGAAGCAUAAUAAGGACCAUGAAGUCAACAUCAAAAUCAAGAGCCUCAACCAUCAAAAGAACAACAAUAAACAAGAGUAAGACAUAUGCCAUCUUACUCAACAAUAUGCAAAUACAAUCCUCAAUAGUGAGGUAUAACCAUCCCAUGUGAACUCACAUGAAAUCAACCUCAACAACAAGGCAUUCUCUUUCUUACUGGAGCUAAUCAACAUAUAUGCACAAUCCUCAAUGUCAAGGCACAACCAUCUUGUUGGAGCACAAAUCAACAAUAAAAUGAACCAUAAGCAUCAUUGAGAAACUCAAGACAAUCACAAAAAGCUUCUGGUACAAGCCCAAAAUCAAAAAAUGCAUCACAGACUGACAAAUGAUCAAAUACCCAUAUACAUAACAGUUUAGCGCAUCCACCAAUCAGAUUAGCGCAUCUGCAAAACAUAGUAGUGCAUUCUGUAGUACCCCUGCCCUAAUCAAUUUCUAAUCUCAGUUUAAUCUUGGUUAGUUUAUCUUAAUAUAAUGUUAUAGUCAGAUGUUUGAUUUAAUGCAUAGCUAUUGAUGUGGUUCUCACACUAGUUGUAUGCAAGUUGUUUAGUGUUCCUAUUUCGUGGUAUUAAUAUCGGGCUAACGCUUUCAUUAAGUUUAUAUAUAUAUGCAUGUAUGACUCUU